rnacentral:rRNA from 1 species
UACGUAGGGACCAAGCGUUGUUCGGAUUUACUGGGCGUAAAGGGCGCGUAGGCGGCGUGACAAGUCACUUGUGAAAUCUCUGAGCUUAACUCAGAACGGCCAAGUGAUACUGCAGUGCUAGAGUGCAGAAGGGGCAAUCGGAAUUCUUGGUGUAGCGGUGAAAUGCGUAGAUAUCAAGAGGAACACCUGAGGUGAAGACGGGUUGCUAGGCUGACACUCGACGCUGAGGCGCGAAAGCCAGGGGAGCAAACGGG